CACCUCUUAAUCUUCCACCUCUUGCUAUUCAUGUUUAUCUGGAGUGCUGAAUGUAUCCCAGAGGAUUCAUGUUUCUAUUCUUAAUCCUUUCUAGCUAUUUCGAGGUCUUACCUUAUUCAAGCCAUUUAA